GCGGUAAGACGUGUUUCAUUUCAGGACCAAGACCCAGAUUAGCACAGACGUGGAACAGCUAUUGUACUGAGGAUUAAGAUAUGGCCUCUUCAGUUCCGGGAUCUGGUGAAGACGGGGAAAGCCACAUAUCUGCCUCUAUCGUACGAUCACUUUUUCUAAGAGUAUUGAUGCAAUGGUUAAACACUAGUAUAGUCAACAUGGUCAGUGACGGACUAUCAUUGUUGUCUUAUUCCGAUUCAAGUAUCAUGAUUGCUGCAGCAGCCACUUCCUCAACAGAAGAACCCAUGUUGGUGAUGCCCAGUCCACACAGACACUGACACUGACACAGACAUUUCACACAAAGUUACCAUCAGAUAGUAGUCACCCUUGGCUAUAUUCCAUUGCAGUGCUGGGAGGUGAAAGAUCUGACAACAUUGUUGUCAGUGAUAAUGAAAACUCGUGUGUAAAAUAUUUCUCUGCUAGAAACUUUGAACUUUUGUUUAAUUACCAACUUAUCAGUCCACCAUUGGGCCUUGCUAGGUCAUGUGACCAGCAGAUUGUUGUCCUCAUUCCAUUAAAACUCGAAAUAUUAUAUCUGGAUAUAGGUCUACAAAAUGACAUCCGGCUGACACGCACACUGACAACUAAAACAGUGUACGAAUAUAUAUCAGUGUUGCCUGACAAGUGUCUGCCGGUCAGUGCUCAUUCUGGUUCGUGUGUAGACAUACUGAAUGAGCAGGGUAGCGUCAUUAAGUCUCUCCCCCACCACUUGAUCACCGACACCACGUGUCUCACAGUGAAAGGCGACUCUCUGGUUGUAGUAUUAGACAUGAAACGUUUGAGAUGUUUGACGGAAUCAGGAUGCAACAUCUGGAAUUCACCUGAUUCAGAAAUGCUACGUUAUCUAGUCGGUGUCGCGUGUGACAUGGAAGACUUUGUUUAUGUUUGUGCUGAUCACAGAAAUUGUAUUGUCCAGUUGUCAAGUAACGGAGUGGCCAUCCGUGACGUCAUCACGGACCAGGAUCGAUUGUCCAGACCUUGGUUUGUCUGUUGUCAUCAGGAUAAACUUUAUGUCGCCCAAAAAGAUGGACAUGUUAAAAUAUUUACAUGGAGCAGAGCUAACCAGUGAAACUCUUCAAACUGACUUUGUAUUUGUGAAAUGAGGCGGUUUAAAAUGACAAAACAGAUUAUUAAAUACCUUAAUACUUUUAGUAAAUAUCCAGUCAAACUUUUGCUAAUUAAUAGAUUAGCUAAUUAAUUUUCAAAAUCUAAUUAAAAAUAAUAUCUGGUAAUAUUAUACACAAAAAACAAUUACAAGUUUUAUAUUAAUGACAAAUGAAUGGUUUGUACCAUUUACUAAUUAAUUUAAUUAAAUGAUUAAACAUAUUUUAUUAACGUAAAAUCAGGAAGAAAAUAUGUAAAAACAAGGAAGAAAAAUUAUUAAAUUUAAUUUGAAUUUAUAAUUUCUUUCUGUUUUUCGAAAUUCUUCAGCACAAACCCGACCAAGUACUAAUUUAGUGUGAAGACACAACUUAUAGAAAUGUUUAUCAGCUUGAUAUUUCUUGAUCCACGUCAAGUUCUAAUAUUUAUUUGCCCCAAUAAAAAAUGCCUCACCCCAUCCACCCCCCCCCCCCAAAAAAAAAAAAAAAAAAAAAAAAAAAAAAAAAAAUGCCUACCCCGAACCUAGUUUGUAAGACACAGGUAGGCCCUUAUCAAUCAAUGGUGAUUCAGCUUUCUAUGGACAUUUUGCACUAACCACUCACACAUAGCAGAAUAAAGUGCUCUUUAUGUUGAGUAGGCCCGUAUGAACGAUGUUUCAAUGCGAGGGGAAUACAAGGACCUUAGGUCUAUUGGGAGGUACACAUUCUCAUGGGGGGGGGGGGGGAUAUGUAUCUUUAUUUAAAAAAAAGAGAGUAAAAACAAAGAUAAAAACUAAAUAUUUUCCUCUUCAAAUGAGGGUAUGACUACUGAUCCUCCCCCACCCCCACCCCCCAAACACCACCAUUACCGACUCCCUCGAGCCUGAUGACUUGAUUAAUCAAUGCACUGGCGUACAUUCAGAAAUAAUUAAACACAUCAAUUUGACAAGACAUAUUUCCACAUUCAGUCAGAAAUAAUCACACAUCCAUUUGAUAAGAAAUAUUUCCUCAUUCAGAAAUAAUUCAAAACAUCCAUUUUGACAAGAAAUAUUUCCACAUUCAGAAAUAAUUAAACACAUCCAUUUGACAAGUAAUAUUUCCACAUUCAGAAAUAAUU